rnacentral:misc_RNA from 1 species
GAUGAAGAACGUAGUGAAAUGCGAUAAGUAAUGUGAAUUGCAGAAUUCAGUGAAUCAUCUAAUCUUUGAACGCACAUUGCGCCCGCCAGUAUUCUGGCGGGCAUGCCUGUUCGAGCGUCAUUUCAACCAUCAAGCCCCAGGCUUGUGUUGGGGACCUGCGGCUGCCGCAGGCCCUGAAAACCAGUGGCGGGCUCGCUGUCACACCGGGCGUAGUAGAUUUUAUCUCGCUCAGGGCGUGCUGCGGGUUCCGGCCGUUAAAAAGCCUUUUUUACCCAAGGUUGACCUCGGAUCAGGUAGGAAGACCCGCUGAACUUAAGCAUAUCAAUAAGCGGAGGA